rnacentral:rRNA from 1 species
AACGAACGCUGGCGGCAGGCCUAACACAUGCAAGUCGAACGCCGUAGCAAUACGGAGUGGCAGACGGGUGAGUAACACGUGGGAACGUACCCUUCGGUUCGGAAUAACUCAGGGAAACUUGAGCUAAUACCGGAUACGUCCGAGAGGAGAAAGAUUUAUCGCCGAGGGAUCGGCCCGCGUCUGAUUAGCUUGUUGGUGAGGUAACGGCUCACCAAGGCGACGAUCAGUAGCUGGCUGAGAGGAUGAUCAGCCACACUGGGACUGAGACACGGCCCAGACUCCUACGGGAGGCAGCAGU